GGAUGCAUGGUGUAGUUGGUUUAUCACAUCAGUCUAACACACUGAAGGGUAAGUUGUUCCUUUCCAACCCGCUUCUGCCAGGGAGUGAAGCUGACAUAAAGUUAUAGUCCCAAGUUCGAGCCUUGGUGCGUUCA